rnacentral:rRNA from 1 species
AUGACCAAAGAUGUAUCGGUGUAGGAGCGGCCUAUUUCCUAUCAGCUUGUUGGUGAGGUAACGGCUCACCAAGGCAGCGACGGGUAGCGGGACUGAGAGGUUGACCCGCCACAUCGGGACUGAGACACUGCCCGGACCUCCACGGAGGGCUGCAGUAACGAAUAUUGCGCAAUGGACGAAAGUCUGACGCAGCAACGCCGCGUGUAGGAUGAAGCCCCUCGGGGUGUAAACUGCUGUCAGGGGUCAGAAAGUGCGCUUCGGCGCAUUGAUCAGCCCCAGAGGAAGUCACGGCUAACUUCGUGCCAGCAGCCGCGGUAAUACGAAGGUGGCGAGCGUUGUUCGGAAUCACUGGGCUUAAAGCGCGCGUAGGCGGAAUGGCAUGUGCUUUGUGAAAUCCCACGGCUUAACCGUGGAAUUGCUUGGCAAACUGCUAUUCUUGAGGCAAGCAGGGGUGUAUGGAACUCUUGGUGGAGCGGUGGAAUGCGUAGAUAUCAAGAGGAACGCCAAUGGCGAAGGCAGUACACUGGGCUUUGUCCUGACGCUGAGGUGCGAAAGCGUGGGGAGCGAACGGGAUUAGAUACCCCGGUAGUCCACCGCUGUACACGAUGUCGACUAGCUUGUCGGAAGUUCGUGACGCUUUCCACGGCCGAAGCAAAAGUGUUAAGUAGACCGCCUGGGGAGUACGGUCGCAAGGCUCAAACUCAAAGGAAUCGACGGGGGCUCACACAAGCGGUGGAGCAUGUGGAUUAAUUCGAAGCAACGCGCAGAACCUUACCUGGGUUUGACAUGCUUGGAUGCCUGCCUGGAAACAGGUUAGGUUGCCAUUCGGGGUGAAACUUGCACAGGUGCUGCAUGGCUGUCGUCAGCUCGUGUCGUGAGAUGUCGGGUUAAGUCCUUUAACGAGCGAAACCCUUGCCGUUAGUUGCCAGCGAGUAAUGUCGGGGACUCUAACGGGACUGCCGGUGUUAAACCGGAGGAAGGUGGGGAUGACGUCAAGUCCUCAUGGCCCUUAUGCCCAGGGCUUCACACGUGCUACAAUGGCGUAUACAAAGCGAUGCGAUACCGCGAGGUGGAGCAAAUCGCACAAAAGACGCCUCAGUUCGGAUUGCAGGCUGACAACUCGCCUGCAUGAAGUUGGAAUCGCUAGUAAUCGCGUAUCAGCUAUCACGCGGUGAAUGUGUUCCUGAGC